CGCACACGCAGCACAAUGAUGAUGUCACUGAUUCUACUGCUGGGGACACUGGGGAUCCUUGUUCAGGACUCAUCAGCAGAUAUAAUAAUGACAGUCUCCUAAAUCUCAGUCUGUUAGUCCAGGAGAGACUGUCUCUAUCAGCUGUACAGCCAGUUCAAGUACUAGUGAUUAUCUCCACUGGUACCUGCAGAAACCUGGAGAAGCUCCUAAACUCCUGGUUUAUGCUUCUACAAACCGUCAGUCUGGGAUUCCAGGUCGUUUCAGUGGGAGUGGAUCUGGUAGUUCAUUAACUCAUUACACUCUGACCAUCAGUGGAGUCCAGGCUGAAGAUGCAGGAGAUUACUACUGUCAGCAGGGUGGCAGCUAUCCGUUCACACAGUGUUAGAGCGUCGUACAAAAACCUCCCUCAGCUAAAGAGGAACUGCUCUGACUCAACAGCUGCAGAGCUACAGAGUCUCCCAUAUUCUAAG